UAACCCAUCCGAUGUGACUGGCACGGAUUUCGCCUUCACUGGUAGCCUGGUAACAUACACUCCCAGGUCUUUCUCUGCCUCUGUGGUGGAUAGUGGAGUGUUUCCCAUGUGGUAUUGGUGUGCUGGAUAUCCCUUCACUGGUAGCCUGGUAACAUACACUCCCAGGUCUUUCUCUGCCUCUGUGGUGGAUAGUGGAGUGUUUCCCAUGUGGUAUUGGUGUGCUGGAUAUCCCUUCACUGGUAGCCUGGUAACAUACACUCCCAGGUCUUUCUCUGCCUCUGUGGUGGAUAGUGGAGUGUUUCCCAUGUGGUAUUGGUGUGCUGGAUAUCCCUUCACUGGUAGCCUGGUAACAUACACUCCCAGGUCUUUCUCUGCCUCUGUGGUGGAUAGUGGAGUGUUUCCCAUGUGGUAUUGGUGUGCUGGAUAUCCCUUCACUGGUAGCCUGGUAACAUACACUCCCAGGUCUUUCUCUGCCUCUGUGGUGGAUAGUGGAGUGUUUCACAUGUGGUAUUGGUGUGCUGGAUAUCCCUUCACUGGUAGCCUGGUAACAUACACUCCCAGGUCUUUCUCUGCCUCUGUGGUGGAUAGUGGAGUGUUUCCCCUGUGGUAUUGGUGUGCUGGAUAUCCCUUCACUGGUAGCCUGGUAACAUACACUCCCAGGUCUUUCUCUGCCUCUGUGGUGGAUAGUGGAGUGUUUCCCAUGUGGUAUUGGUGUGCUGGAUAUCCCCUCCCAAGGUGCAGGACUAAAUAUUUCUUCAUUGAAUUGUAGCAGCCACUUUUUCUUCCAUUCCUGUAGCUUGGUAAUG